UGUAACGUCAGGUGGAUGUCUCAUUGAGC
rnacentral:piRNA from 1 species